GGGCAUGUAGCUUAGAUGGUAAAGUGCUCACUUAGCAUGUGAGAGAUACAAGGAUCAAUACCUUCCAUUUGCA